AUUGAACGCUGGCGGCAGGCCUAACACAUGCAAGUCGAACGAGUGGCGGACGGGUGCGUAAUGUCUGGGAAAGUGCACGAUGGAGGGGGAUAACUACUGGAAACGGUAGCUAAUAACGCAUACCAUAGGAAGUGCCCAGAUGGGAUUAUAUAGUAGGUGGGGUAACGGCUCAACUAGGCGCCGCUCCCUAGCUGGUCUGAGAGGAUGACCAGCCACAAUGGAACUGAGACACGGGCCAGAAUCCUACGGGAGGCAGCAGUGGGGAAUAUUGCACAAUGGGCGCAAGCCUGAGGAAGCCAUGCCGCGUGUAUGAAGAAGGCCUUCGGGUUGUAAAGUACUUUCAGCGAGGAGGCGUUACUCGCAGAAGAAGCACCGGCUAACUCCGUGCCAGCAGCCGCGGUAAUAC
rnacentral:rRNA from 1 species